rnacentral:rRNA from 1 species
GAUGAACGCUGGCGGCGUGCCUAAUACAUGCAAGUCGAACGUACUGAUUUUAUCAGUGAGUGGCGAACGGGUGAGUAAUACAUAAGUAACCUGCCCUCAUGAGGGGGAUAACUAUUAGAAAUGAUAGCUAAGACCGCAUAGGUGAAGGGGUCGCAUGACCGCUUCAUUAAAUAUCCGUAUGGAUAGCAGGAGGAUGGACUUAUGGCGCAUUAGCUGGUUGGUGAGGUAACGGCUCACCAAGGCGACGAUGCGUAGCCGACCUGAGAGGGUGGACGGCCACACUGGGACUGAGACACGGCCCAGACUCCUACGGGAGGCAGCAGUAGGGAAUUUUCGGCAAUGGGGGAAACCCUGACCGAGCAACGCCGCGUGAGGGAAGAAGUAUUUCGGUAUGUAAACCUCUGUUAUAAAGGAAGAACGGUAUGAAUAGGAAAUGAUUCAUAAGUGACGGUACU